UUCUUUUUUUUUUUCCUUUUUUAUUUGAGAGAGAGAGAGACUCCUGCUUUGGAUAUAUUAGUUUGGGCAGGAGAGAAAAAUUCCUUCACUGGAAAACAGGGUUUGGUUUGGUGCAAUGACUAAAGUUCAAAACAACCAACAUCAAAAAAGUACUAGGAUAAUCCUUAACAUUACCCUAUCACCAAAAUGAAACACGGGAUAACAUUAUACUUUUUAGAUGUUCGAGUCCUAUCUUAUUUAGUCUCAAACUGAAAACAGAUCUACAUAUAUGCUAUGAACCCAAGACUACAAUUCAGAAUUAAAUCUUGGUAAUUUAUCAACGUAAUCCCAUAAAUUCAUAACCAGCUUUUACGAUACAAAUAGACAGUUUUCUGAAUUGGUGGUAAGAAUCAACUCAGGCCUGCCCACUACCUCCAGCACUAUUAAGUUCUUGAAUUCUAGACAAGUGCUUGUUCCCACUAAGGUGAGUGUCCAUGUUUCCCUCACUGUUGCAACUUGUAUUACAGAUGGUACACCACCAAAGAGAAUUUCUUACCUCAACAACUCUGUUCUUCAGGUUCUCUUGCUUACCUUGCUUUUUUUGCUUUGGAGCUCGUACUUUUUGGUGAAGCAGGUGAAACAUUGUUUGUGGACUUCUGCUUCUGGUCUAUGAGCUUCUCACAAGCAACUCUAUGUCUCUUUCCUUGACAAUGUGAAAUAAGAUCUGUCUCACUGGUAGCUGUUACGUGACAUAAAGCACAAAUCCAUACCUUUUGAGAGUUCUUUGGUUGUGGUUUUUCAGGAAUACCUCCACCUGCUCCUUUUAUAGCUCCCAUUUCUUUUUUCUCCAGAGGUGCACAUGUUUCCAUUGAAGCAGGGAAUACCAAGCUAUUCGACAACUGUUUCAUGGUUUUCAGCUUCUCAUCACAUUCAUUGUGUCUAUGUCCUUGAAUAUGUGAAGUAAGCUCUGCCUCACUUGUGGCUAUUACCUGACAUAUAGAACAAGUCCAUGGCUUUUGAACAAGCUUUGAAUGUGGCUUGUUAGAAAUAUCUCCAUCUUCUAUUUUAGCAGUUGUCAUUUCUUUUUUCUCCAGAGGUGAACAUGUUUCCAGUGAAGCAGGAGAAAUCUUGCUUUUUGAUGUCUCAUCCUUAGCUGUCAGCUUCUCAUAAGCAUCUGCAUGUCGCUGUCCUUGAAGAUGUGAAAUAAGGUCUGCCUCACUUGUAGUUGUUACCAGACAUAUAGCACAAGUCCACUCAUUUUGGGCUUUCUUCAAACAUGAUUUGUCAGAAAUAUCUCGACCAGCUACUGUUGCAUUUGCCAUUUCUCUUCUUUCUGUAGGUACAUGUGUUUCCACUGAAGAAGGGCAAACCUUGCUUGUUGAUGUCUGGUUUUUUGCUUUCAGCCUCUCACAAGCAUCCUCAUGUUGCCUUCCUUGGAGAUGUAAACUAUGGUCUGUCUCGUUUGUGGUUGUGACCUGACAUAUAGCACAAGUCCACUCCUUUAGGAUAUUCUGGGAAGGCAGUUUGUCAGGAAAGGUGCUACCAGCUAUUGUCGUAGUUGCCAUUUCUUUAGGUGCACCCGUUUCCAUUGAAGUAGGGGAAUUCUUGCUUUCCAACAUCUGGUUCUUGGCUUUCAGCUUCUCAGAAGCAGCCUCAUGUCGCCCUCCCUGAAGAUGGGAAACAAAUAUUUUCUCACUUGUGGUUGUUACUUGACAUAUAGGACAAGUCCACUGCUUCUGGGCCUUCUCAGAAGGCAUAUUGUUGGGAAGAUCUCCACCUGCUACUUUUGUAGCUGCCAUUUUUUUAGGUGAAACAUUUUCCACUGAAGCAGGGGAAUUCUCACUUUGCAACAUCAUGUUCUGGACCUUCAGCUUCUUCAAAGCACCCUUAUGUCGCCUUCCUUGAAGAUGGGAAAUAAAGAGUGCUUCGCUGAUGCUUAUUACCUGACAUAUAGGACAAGUCCACUCCUUGGAGUUCACAGAAGUUGGUUUGUCAAUAAGAUCUCCAUCUGAUACUGUUGUGGUUGCCAUUUCUUUAGGUGCAUUCAUUUCUAUAGAAGAAAUGCAAUUGUCACUUUCCAAUUGUUGGUUUUUGGACUUCAACUUCUCAGAAGCAUCUUCAUGUUGA
rnacentral:misc_RNA from 1 species